rnacentral:tRNA from 1 species
GUCUCGGUAGCUUAGUUGGUAAAGCACUUCUCUAACGUAAAAGUGUCCUGAGUUCAAAUCUCACCUGAGCG